rnacentral:rRNA from 1 species
CCUACGGGUGGCAGCAGUGGGGAAUAUUGGUCAAUGGGCGCAAGCCUGACCCAGCAACGCCGCGUGAAGGAAGAAGGCUUUCGGGUUGUUAACCUCUUUUGUCAGGGACGAAGCAAGUGACGGUACCUGCCGAAUAAGCCACGGCUAACUACGUGCAAGCAGCCGCGGUAAUACGUAGGUGGCAAGCGUAAUCCGGAUUUACUGGGGGUAAAGGGAGUGUAGGCGGGGAAGGAAGGCAGAUGGUAAAACGACGGGCUCAACCUGUGGCCUGCAUUUGAAACUGUUUUUCUUGAGUGCUGGAGAGGCAAUCGGAAUUCCGUGUGUAGCCGUGAAAUGCGUAGAUAUCGAGAGGAACACUCGUGGCGAAGGCGGGUUCCUGGACAUUAACUGACGCUGAGGCACGAAGGCCAGGGGAGCGAAAGGGAUUAGAUACCCGAGUAGUC